rnacentral:rRNA from 1 species
CCUACGGGAGGCAGCAGUGGGGAAUAUUGGGCAAUGGGCGCAAGCCUGACCCAGCAACGCCGCGUGAAGGAAGAAGGCUUUCGGGUUGUAAACUUCUUUUCUCAGGGACGAAGCAAGUGACGGUACCUGAGGAAUAAGCCACGGCUAACUACGUGCCAGCAGUCGCGGUAAUACGUAAGUGGCAAGCGUUAUCCGGAUGUACUGGGUGUAAAGGGCGUGUAGGCGGGAAAGCAAGUCAGAUGUGAAAACCAGGGGCUGAACCUGUGGCGUGCAUUUGAAACUGUUUUUCGUGAGAACGGGAGAGGCAGACGGAAUGCGUGGUGUAGCGGUGAAAUGCGUAGAUAUUAGGAGGAACACCGGUGGCGAAGGCGGUCUGCUGGGCAGCAACUGACGCUGAGGCGCGAAAGCGUGGGGAGCAAACAGGAUUAGAUACCCUGGUAGUC